AAAAAGCAGCAGAAGCAGAAAUCACCAAAUAGUUACCCUUCUCUCUCUCUCUAACUUUCUCUCUCUAAAAAGACUAAAACCCUUUUUCUUCGUCUCUGCUAGAUUUUCUUUCCUUGUUUGCCAAACUCAUCAUCUCUCUCCUUUAUGGAUCUACCAUUUCCCAUGGCUCUGAAGCUUUGCUAAAUCGCCGGAAUUCGAAUCGAGAUUUGAGAGCUGAAGACGAAGAAGAAGAAGAUGAAGGUGCCGUGCUGUUCGGUGUGCCAGACGCGCUACGAUGAGGAAGAGAGAGUGCCGCUGCUGCUGCAGUGCGGCCAUGGCUUCUGCAAGGACUGCUUGUCCAAAAUGUUCUCCGCCUGUCCCGACACCACGCUCGUCUGCCCUAGGUGCCGCCACGUCUCCGUCGUCGGCAACUCCGUCCAGGCCCUCCGGAAAAACUACGCCGUUCUGGCGCUGAUUCACUCCAGCACCACCUCCAAUGGCGUCUCCUCCGCCGCCGCCGCCGCCGCAAAUUUCGAUUGCGAUUACACGGACGACGAGGGCGGCGAUGAGGAUGAGGAUGAUGAUAACGACGAGGCCUCGCUGUCGCGGCGCCGAUGUAGCCGCGGAUCAAACGCGUCCAGCUCCGGCGGGUGUGGGCCGGUCAUUGAGGUGGCGGUGCACCCCGAGUUGAGGUUUGUGAGGCGGAUAGGGGAGGGCAGGCAGGCUGGGGUUCAAAUGUGGACGGCAGUGAUCGGCGGGAGUGGGUGGCGGUGCCGGCACCGUGUGGCGGUGAAGAAGGUGGCAGUGGUGGCGGAGGAGACGAGUAUGGAUUGGGUGAUGGGGCAGCUAGAGAACUUGCGGCGGGCGUCCAUGUGGUGUAGGAAUGUGUGCACAUUUCAUGGGGCGGUGAAGAAUGAAGGGACUUUGUGUCUUGUUAUGGAUAAGUGUUAUGGGUCUGUUCAAUCCGAGAUGGAGCGCAAUGAGGGCAGACUCACUCUGGAGCAAAUCUUAAGAUAUGGUGCUGACAUCGCACGAGGAGUAGCUGAACUCCAUGCCGCAAAUGUUGUUUGUAUGAAUCUAAAACCAUCCAAUUUACUUUUGGAUGCGAAUGGUCAUGCUGUGGUUUCUGAUUAUGGAGUUGCUGCUAUUCUUAAGAAACCUUCCUGUCGCAAAACUCGAUCAGAAUGUGACACCUCAAGGAUCCAUUCAUGUAUGGAGUGUACAAUGCUAAGUCCUCACUAUGCAGCACCAGAGGCAUGGGAGCCGGUGAAGAAGUCACUGAAUCCAUUCUGGGAUGAAGCUAUUGGUAUCUCUGCAGAGUCAGAUGCAUGGAGUUUUGGUUGUACAUUGGUAGAAAUGUGCACCGGUUCCAUCCCAUGGGCUGGUUUGAGCACAGAGGAAAUUUACAAGGCGGUGGUCAAGGCUCGAAAACUGCCUCCACAAUAUGCAAGUGUAGUAGGUGUUGGAAUACCUAGGGAAUUGUGGAAAAUGAUUGGUGAGUGUCUGCAGUACAAGGCAUCAAAAAGACCAUCCUUUAAUUUAAUGCUAGCAACUUUCCUCCGCCAUUUGCAGGAGAUACCGCGGAGCUCUCCUGCUAGUCCUGAUAAUGACAUAGCUAAAAGCUUGGGAUCCAAUGUGAAGGAACCAUCGCCUGUAUCCUAUUCAAAAGUAUUUCAGGGUAAUCCCGCCCUUCUGCAUAGACUUGUGUCCGAAGGGGAUGUAUAUGGUGUUAGAGAUCUGCUUGGAAAGGCUGCAGCGGGAAGUGACAACAGUGUAAUAUCGUCUCUAUUAGAAGCUCAAAAUGCUGAUGGCCAAACUGCUCUUCAUUUGGCCUGUAGACGUGGUAGUGCAGAACUUGUCGAUGCUAUUUUGGAGUAUAGAGAGGCAAAUGUAGAUGUGUUGGACAAAGAUGGGGAUCCUCCACUUGUUUUUGCUCUAGUAGCUGGAUCCCCAGGGUGUGUUCAUGUUCUCAUUAAAAGAGGUGCUAAUGUGAGAUCUCGGUUGCGGGAGGGCUUUGGUCCCUCUGUUGCUCAUGUUUGUGCUUAUCAUGGCCAGCCUGAUUGUAUGCGUGAGUUACUAAUGGCUGGAGCUGAUCCUAAUGCGGUGGAUGAGGAAGGGGAAUCUGUACUCCAUAGAGCUAUUACCAAGAAGUAUACAGAUUGUGCACUAGUGGUUUUGGAAAAUGGGGGCUGUAGGUCAAUGACUGUUCUAAAUUCAGAAAAAAUGACGCCAUUGCACUUGUGUGUGCAAACAUGGAAUGUUGCUGUUGUUAGAAGAUGGGUGGAAGUUGCAACACCAGAAGAGAUUGCCGACGCAAUUGAUAUACCAAGUCCAGUUGGCACUGCACUGUGUAUGGCUGCUGCUCUAAAGAAAGAUCAUGAAAUUGAAGGAAGAGAAUUGGUGCGUAUUUUGCUUGCUUCUGGAGCAGAUCCAACUGCUCAGGAUGCCCAGCAUGGACGUACAGCUUUGCAUACGGCUUCAAUGGCCAAUGACGUUGAGUUGGUGAAGAUUAUACUUGAUGCGGGAGUUGAUGUGAACAUCCGAAAUGCACAAAAUACAAUUCCACUUCAUGUAGCACUGGCCAGAGGGGCGAAGUCAUGUGUUGGGAUGCUUCUAUCCGCUGGAGCAAAUUAUAAUUUGCAGGAUGAUGAAGGGGACAAUGCUUUCCAUAUAGCAGCAGAUGCAGCAAAAAUGAUACGUGAAAAUCUUGAAUGGCUUAUUGUCAUGCUUAGAAAUCCUGAUGCUUCUGUUGAAGCCAGAAAUCACAGUGGCAAGACACUGCGUGACUUUCUGGAAGCUCUUCCCCGGGAAUGGGUAUCUGAAGACCUGAUGGAGGCACUUAUUAAUAGGGGAGUUUAUCUGUCUCCUACAAUAUUUGAAGUGGGGGAUUGGAUCAAAUUUAAAAGAAGUAUCACAAAUCCGACAUAUGGAUGGCAAGGUGCAAAGCAUAGAAGUGUAGGCUUCGUGCAAAAUGUCCCAGAUAAGGACAAUCUGAUAGUAUCAUUUUGUUCUGGAGAGGCUCAUGAGGCUCGUGUCUUAGCAAAUGAAGUUAUAAAAGUUAUUCCAUUAGACAGGGGGCAGCAUGUCCAGCUUAAACCCGAUGUUAAAGAGCCAAGGUUUGGGUGGCGUGGGCAAUCACGUGAUAGCAUUGGUACUGUAUUAUGUGUUGAUGAUGAUGGUAUCCUACGUGUUGGGUUUCCUGGUGCCUCCAGAGGAUGGAAAGCUGAUCCUGCAGAAAUGGAGAGAGUUGAAGAAUUCAAAGUUGGGGACUGGGUUCGUAUUCGCCCGACUCUCACAACAGCAAAGCAUGGAUUAGGAUCUGUUACACCUGGGAGCAUUGGUAUUGUGUAUUGUAUACGACCAGAUAGUAGUCUGUUGUUAGAAUUAAGUUAUCUUCCAAAUCCAUGGCAUUGUGAACCAGAGGAGGUUGAGCCUGUAAUCCCCUUCAGGAUUGGUGACAGGGUAUGUGUGAAGCGAUCAGUUGCAGAACCUAGGUAUGCAUGGGGUGGUGAGACCCACCAUAGUGUUGGAAGAAUAAGUGAGAUAGAGAAUGAUGGCCUCCUGGUUAUUGAAAUUCCAAACCGACCAAUAUCAUGGCAGGCUGAUCCUUCUGACAUGGAGAAGUUGGAAGAUUUCAAGGUAGGAGAUUGGGUUAGAGUAAAAGCUUCAGUACCCUCCCCCAAAUACGGAUGGGAGGAUAUCACAAGGAGUAGUAUUGGGAUAAUCCAUAGCUUGGAGGAAGAUGGUGAUAUGGGUGUUGCUUUUUGCUUCAGGAGCAAGCCUUUUUCAUGUUCUGUCACAGAUGUGGAAAAGCUACCUCCUUUUGAGGUGGGACAAGAAAUUCAUAUUCUGUCAUCUGUCAGUCAGCCGCGACUUGGAUGGUCAAAUGAAAGUCCUGCGACUGUUGGAAAAAUAGAUAGAAUUGACAUGGAUGGAGCUUUAAAUGUAAGGGUGCCUGGCAGACAGAGCUUGUGGAAAGUUUCUCCAGGAGAUGCUGAACGACUCUCUGGAUUUGAAGUUGGUGACUGGGUACGGUCAAAACCAAGCCUGGGAACUCGACCAAGUUAUGACUGGAACAGUAUUGGAAAAGAAAGUUUAGCUGUUGUUCACAGUGUACAAGACACAGGUUAUCUUGAGUUGGCUUGCUGUUUCCGUAAAGGCAGGUGGAUAACUCAUUACACAGACGUUGAAAAGGUUCCAUGCUUCAAAGUUGGCCAAUAUGUUCGGUUUCGUACUGGUUUAGUUGAACCAAGAUGGGGAUGGAGGGGGGCUCAACCUGAUUCUCGAGGUAUUAUAACUAGUAUUCAUGCUGAUGGGGAAGUGAGAGUGGCUUUCCCUGGUUUGCCAGGGUUGUGGAGAGGAGAUCCUGCUGAUUUUGAGAUAGAGCAGAUUUAUGAAGUUGGAGAGUGGGUGAGAUUAGAAGAUCAUGCAAAUAUGUGGAAAUCUGUUGGGCCAGGGAGUGUUGGCGUGGUGCAAGGAUUAGGAUAUGAGGGAGAUAAAUGGGAUGGAACCACUUUUGUAGGAUUCUGCGGGGAGCAAGAGAGAUGGAUUGGGCCUACUUCUGAUCUUGCAAGGGCAAACAGGCUCUUGGUUGGCCAGAAGGUUAGGGUUAAAUUAUCUGUCAAGCAGCCCCGAUUUGGAUGGUCAGGCCACAGCCAUGCAAGUGUUGGAACUAUAGCCGGGAUUGAUGCUGAUGGAAAGCUGAGAAUAUACACUCCAACUGGUUCAAAAGCUUGGAUGUUGGAUCCAUCAGAAGUGCAACUUGUGGAGGAAGAGGAGCUUCAUAUUGGAGACUGGGUUAGGGUUAAAAUAUCAAUAUCAACCCCAACCCACCAAUGGGGAGAGGUGAAUCGUUCGAGCGUUGGGGUGGUGCAUCGGAUGGAAAAUGAGGAGCUUUGGGUGGCUUUUUGCUUCACGGAGAGGUUGUGGCUUUGCAAGGCAUUGGAAAUGGAACGGGUUAGGCCCUUUAGAGUGGGGGACAAAGUGAGGAUUAGAGAAGGGUUGGUGUCCCCACGGUGGGGUUGGGGAAUGGAGACGCAUGCCAGCAAAGGAGAGGUAGUUGGGGUGGAUGCAAAUGGAAAGUUAAGAAUUAAGUUCCGGUGGAGAGAAGGGAGACCAUGGAUUGGAGAUCCUGCUGAUGUCACUCUUGAUGAAAACACAUGACCCAACUUCUCUAACUCGUGUUCCUUUUAACCGGCUUCUCUGCGUUCUUGGCUUUUGGCCCUCGCGGCAUGUGCAGACAAGUGAGAAAGCCAUUGUUGCUCCACCGUGUAAUCUGGUCUGGCUUGGAAACUAUACCUUUGUUGUAAUGAGGCUUUGAGGGACGAUUUAUUUGUUGUUAAUACAGGAGAGUACAAGAGAUGGAUAGAUAGGAGUCAUGAGAGAUUAAUUACAGGAGACACGGGAGGCGAAGAGAAAAGUGGCAUUUUGCCAUUUGUGUUUCAUAGGUGUUGUGCAGUUGACAAGCUUUAGAGGUUUGCCGUUACUUGGAGCAUCUCCUAUUUUUGGCCUACCACCCUUUCCCAAAGGAUCAAGAAAAAAAUUUGGCCUCAAAUAUUGCAAGUCAGAUUUGGGCUUGGUUUUGGUAAGCCAUUUGGUGGGUCACACUCAAUUUUUUGUUUCUUUAAGAAUGU